CACGCCGUAAACGAUGAGUGCUAGGUGUAGAGGGUAUCGACCCCCUCUGUGCCGGAGUCAACACAAUAAGCACUCCGCCUGGGGAGUACGGCCGCAAGGUUGAAACUCAAAGGAAUUGACGGGGGCCCGCACAAGCGGUGGAGCAUGUGGUUUAAUUCGACGCAACGCGAAGAACCUUACCAGGGCUUGACAUCCAUAGAAUUUCUUGGAAACAAGGGAGUGCCCUUCGGGGAGCUAUGAGACAGGUGG
rnacentral:rRNA from 1 species